rnacentral:rRNA from 1 species
CACGUAGGGCGCAAGCGUUGUCCGGAAUUAUUGGGCGUAAAGAGCUCGUAGGCGGUCUGUCGCGUCGGCUGUGAAAACUCGGGGCUCAACCCCGAGCCUGCAGUCGAUACGGGCAGACUAGAGUGCGGUAGGGGAGACUGGAAUUCCUGGUGUAGCGGUGAAAUGCGCAGAUAUCAGGAGGAACACCGGUGGCGAAGGCGGGUCUCUGGGCCGUAACUGACGCUGAGGAGCGAAAGCGUGGGGAGCAAACAGG